CUACGGGUUGCUCCAGUUAGGAAUAAUCUACAAUGCGCGCAAGCGUGAUAGUUUGAGCCAGAGUGUUUUUCAAAUGAAAGACUUUUGUGAAAUGUAAAAAGUUUCACAAAUAAGGACUGGGUAAGACGAGUGCCAGCCGCCGCGGUAAUACUCGCGGUCCAAGUCGCAACCAUUUUUAUUGGGUCUAAAACAUCCGUAGCUUGCUCAACAAGUCUUCUGUGAAAUUUUACGUCUAAAACGUAAAGCGCGCAGAAGGUACUAUUGAGCUAGAGACAGGUAGACGUAAGAAGUACAUUCAGAGUAGCGGUUAAAUGUGUUAAUCCUGGAUGGACUAACAAGAGCGAAGGCAUCUUACGAGAACUGUUCUGACAGUAAGGGAUGAAAGCUAGGGGCGCAAAUGGGAUUAGAUACCCCAGUAGUC
rnacentral:rRNA from 1 species